rnacentral:rRNA from 1 species
UACGAAGGGGGCUAGCGUUGCUCGGAAUCACUGGGCUUAAAGGGCGCGUAGGCGGGCGAGCGAGUCCGGGGUGAAAUCUUUCGGCUUAACCGGAAAAGGGCCUCGGAUACCGGUCGUCUGGAGGGAGGUAGGGGCAGCUGGAACUUCCGGUGGAGCGGUGAAAUGCGUUGAUAUCGGAAGGAACGCCGGUGGCGAAAGCGAGCUGCUGGACCUCAUCUGACGCUGAGGCGCGAAAGCCAGGGGAGCGAACGGG